AGUGGGUGUAAUGUACCUACUAGCCGACGACGGAUACGGGUUGUGGGAGCAAGAGCCCGGAGAUGGAUUCUGAGACAUGAAUCCAGGCCCUACGGGGCGCAGCAGGCGCGAAAACUUUACAAUGCGGGAAACCGCGAUAAGGGGACACCGAGUGCCAGCAUCUUAUGUUGGCUGUCCGCAUGUAUAAAUCACAUGUGUUAGCAAGGGCCGGGCAAGACCGGUGCCAGCCGCCGCGGUAACACCGGCGGCCCGAGUGGUGGCCACUAUUAUUGGGUCUAAAGGGUCCGUAGCCGGUUUGGUCAGUCUUCCGGGAAAUCUGACGGCUUAACCGUUAGGCUUUCGGGGGAUACUACCAGGCUUGGGACCGGGAGAGGUAAGAGGUACUACGGGGUAGGAGUGAAAUCUUGUAAUCCUCGUGGGACCACCAGUGGCGAAGGCGUCUUACCAGAACGGGUCCGACGGUGAGGGACGAAAGCUGGGGGCACGAACCGGAUUAGAU
rnacentral:rRNA from 1 species